rnacentral:rRNA from 1 species
UACAGAGGUCUCAAGCGUUGUUCGGAUUCAUUGGGCGUAAAGGGUGCGUAGGCGGCGCGGUAAGUCGGGUGUGAAAUCUCGGAGCUUAACUCCGAAACUGCAUUCGAUACUGCCGUGCUUGAGGACUGGAGAGGAGACUGGAAUUUACGGUGUAGCGGUGAAAUGCGUAGAUAUCGUAAGGAAGACCAGUGGCGAAGGCGGGUCUCUGGACAGAAACUGACGCUGAGGCGCGAAAGCUAGGGGAGCAAACAGG